AAAGAAUUGACAUACGCAAAGUGCCUUGGACAAACUUGCGGUUCAGAUAAACCAAAUCUCACUCAAACACUCUGCUCCUGCCAGCUUUUGGGAACCUGAAAGAUGCCUGAAGUUCACAACACAGAGGAUAUCCUGCCUGGAGCUACAGAUAAGUAUCCUGCAAUCCAGAUCUCCCACUGCAAAUGAUUCAUUUCCCCUCUUGGCCUGGCUGUGUGUGCACGUGUCUGGUGGUGGUGAGCCAGAGCUGACCAGUGCCCUGGGACAAAGAAAGG